UUCUACGGUGAUCGUAUGUUGGGGUACA
rnacentral:sRNA from 1 species